rnacentral:rRNA from 1 species
UUGCUGGAGGUAUCAGAAGUGCGAAUGCUGACAUAAGUAACGAUAAAGCGGGUGAAAAGCCCGCUCGCCGGAAGACCAAGGGUUCCUGUCCAACGUUAAUCGGGGCAGGGUGAGUCGACCCCUAAGGCGAGGCCGAAAGGCGUAGUCGAUGGGAAACGGGUUAAUAUUCCCGUACUUGGUGUUACUGCGAAGGGGGGACGGAGAAGGCUAUGUUGGCCGGGCGACGGUUGUCCCGGUUUAAGCGUGUAGGUGUGUGUUCCAGGUAAAUCCGGUUCACUUUAACACUGAGGCGUGACGACGAGGCACUACGGUGCUGAAGCAACAAAUGCCCUGCUUCCAGGAAAAGCCUCUAAGCAUCAGGUAACAUCAAAUCGUACCCCAAACCGACACAGGUGGUCAGGUAGAGAAUACCAAGGCGCUUGAGAGAACUCGGGUGAAGGAACUAGGCAAAAUGGUGCCGUAACUUCGGGAGAAGGCACGCUGACACGUAGGUGAAGUGAUUUACUCAUGGAGCUGAAGUCAGUCGAAGAUACCAGCUGGCUGCAACUGUUUAUUAAAAACACAGCACUGUGCAAACACGAAAGUGGACGUAUACGGUGUGACGCCUGCCCGGUGCCGGAAGGUUAAUUGAUGGGGUCAGCGCAAGCGAAGCUCCUGAUCGAAGCCCCGGUAAACGGCGGCCGUAACUAUAACGGUCCUAAGGUAGCGAAAUUCCUUGUCGGGUAAGUUCCGACCUGCACGAAUGGCGUAAUGAUGGCCAGGCUGUCUCCACCCGAGACUCAGUGAAAUUGAACUCGCUGUGAAGAUGCAGUGUACCCGCGGCAAGACGGAAAGACCCCGUGAACCUUUACUAUAGCUUGACACUGAACAUUGAGCCUUGAUGUGUAGGAUAGGUGGGAGGCUUUGAAGUGUGGACGCCAGUCUGCAUGGAGCCGACCUUGAAAUACCACCCUUUAAUGUUUGAUGUUCUAACGUGGACCCGUAAUCCGGGUUGCGGACAGUGUCUGGUGGGUAGUUUGACUGGGGCGGUCUCCUCCUAAAGAGUAACGGAGGAGCACGAAGGUUGGCUAAUCCUGGUCGGACAUCAGGAGGUUAGUGCAAUGGCAUAAGCCAGCUUGACUGCGAGCGUGACGGCGCGAGCAGGUGCGAAAGCAGGUCAUAGUGAUCCGGUGGUUCUGAAUGGAAGGGCCAUCGCUCAACGGAUAAAAGGUACUCCGGGGAUAACAGGCUGAUACCGCCCAAGAGUUCAUAUCGACGGCGGUGUUUGGCACCUCGAUGUCGGCUCAUCACAUCCUGGGGCUGAAGUAGGUCCCAAGGGUAUGGCUGUUCGCCAUUUAAAGUGGUACGCGAGCUGGGUUUAGAACGUCGUGAGACAGUUCGGUCCCUAUCUGCCG